ensembl:snRNA U6 U6 spliceosomal RNA
CUGCUCACUUCAGCAGCACAUAUACUAAAUUUUGAACAAGACAGAGAAGAUUAGCAUGGCCCCUGAACAAGAAAGUACUGUUUUCUCCCUCCCCCCAUAUAU